ensembl:lncRNA
GAGGCAGCGGGCAGAGGCUCAGGGCUGCUGGGGGAGGGGGGCCUGUGUGUGCCCGUGAUGUGUGCCCCCUGCUUGUGGGGACCCCUCAGACCAGCAUCCGGGAGCGCAGGGAGGGACAGAAAAAGGGGGAUCCAGGACCACUCAUAGGAGGACCCAGGACCACCACCCAGAGGGGAGCAGAGCCACCCCAAGAUGACCACUCACCAGAGAAUGCUGCAACCUUUAGGUUGAGAUGAGCAGCUGUGAGCCUAGCACAGGUGCCCAAGGUCAGCCCCCGCUCCACCCUAACCACACAUGUGACUGGGGUGGGUUGAUUAACCCUGGUCCCUGCCGGCCACGCCUGGCCUGGCUGGGUGUCCGUGGCAUCUUUACAUGGGAGUGAGGGUCCCUAACAUCCCAUCCCGUGACCUUCACUUCCCAGGGACCAGGGACCCAGCCCCGGGAGGUGGGCAGACAGGACAGCGGCAGGGGGUGUGGAUGACACAAGCCACUUCACACCCCAGGAUGGCUGCCCCCCAUCCCCAUGGCCCCGGCACUGGGUCAAGGGUGAACAGGAUGCUGGGCCCACCCAGCUGCUCUGAGGACCAGCCUGACUCCACACUGCUUGCAGACAAGUCCCUGGUUACCAGCUACAAUCAACGGAUCCAUACACCGCUGUGCACUCGAAAGAUGCCUUCUCUCCUGGGUAUUCUCCAUCUCUGCAGGGAAGAUGCCUAGCACCCAAGCAAUGUAUUUUUCAACAAUCCACAUACUUGUUGCACCCCGUGAAACCCCCGUCGGUCACCCUCAUCAUCUUUGGCAGAGAGAAUGGAUAACUGUCACCCACCAGGACCUCUUUGACUAAAUCAUCUACCUAUCGAUCUGGAGGGACCGUAUGCCUCAAGGAUCCUGGACCCUGUCUUCUUCAGCUAGCCUGAGACUCUGGUACCAACAUUCCCAUGAGCAGAGGAAUAAAUGCGAAACCAAGUGGGUCCCCCGGGUGUCUCCAAUGUUACCACGUACAAGUCUUGUGUGAUCAUGUCAAAAGUCUGUGCUUUCAGUGCAGUUGUGAAGAUGGAAGUCGUAUAUUCUGGGGAGAAAGAGGGUUUUAUUUCCCUUCUGAACAUUUUAAAGGGAAAACAUUUAUGAUGUUUGAUCAGCUUAUGAAUAACACAGAUGAAGGAAAUGCAAACUCUCAUCAUAUGGAAAACAAACACACAUAAUAACACUUCUUAGUGUUUCGUAUCAAGAGUUUAUUGGAUCUUGCCCCCCCCAAAAUUUUUUUUUUUAAUUUUACAGCAGAAACCUGAGGCUCAGAGAAGCUAGAACUUUGUUUAGGUUUAUACAACUGACCGUGCUUAACCAAGUUUCUCCUGAGAAUAAACGACAAAGUCUGUAAAACCAGGGAGAUGUAACAGCUCAAUGCAUCACCACAGCCUGCAUAACAUCCUGGAACAAAAAGGGGACAUUAAUGGGAAAGCUGGUGAAAUCCAAAU